rnacentral:lncRNA from 7 species
AGUUACCAUUCCCAGCUGCUGCAAUUUUUCUCUAAAUCAGCAGACAUGGUGUUUCCUCAGCAUAUGCCAGCAAAUCCUCCUCUUACCAUCAGAACUUUCCAGCAAAGUGAGUACCUAUAGAAUCAGUAACACCAACGUGCAAGAACUUCUGAAGCAACUUAAUAUAAAUUUAACCUGCAUAAAAAGGCCAGAAGACAGCUCCGGUACACACCAAGCAAGGACUUCCUUGGAUGGUUGAUAGGUGAGACCCAUUGAUAUGGCAGUGAUUCCAGUGAAAGACAAAAUGAACAAAAGACAAGAAGAACCCUGUUGUUCAGUUUAUCUCUCUGCAAUGAAAAAAAUUGUGCAACUCACUGGUAGUAGCCAUGGUAUGAAACUGUCCACACAACUUUGAAUAACUAGUGAGGCAUCACUGAAGUGUAAUAUCAUCCGCACUGUCAUCUCUACACUAAGGUCACUUGGAAAUGUCUCUUACGUGCCGAAAAGGUAGUUCGUGGAAACCUCAGUCCUCCAGCAGAAACAUUACUCAAAAAUCCUGUUCCUCCAGUUCUUCUUGCAAGCAUAAUUACAAAGAAUUAGUGUUGCAAACAUACAUAGCAAAAAUAGACUUUUCUUUGAUAAGUGAAAAUUUCUAUGCUGCAUUCUUUCUUGAAAAAUAGAAGCCUGUUAUACCAAUUCAUCACUUCAAGAUAAAGAAUACUGGCACUGUGAAAAUAACACUUUUUUAUUUUGCCAAGUUAAUAUUUCCAAUACCUCGCCUUCAGAAUUCUUCAGAUAACUCACUAAGUGCUCUAGGCAAAGUUAAUCAAGAAAUGUAUGUAGGAAAAAACUGAGAAGAUUGACCAAAACUCAUGUUUUACAUCUUACAGUCUUAGCAAGCUGUACAUAGUUUUUUGCUGUUUUUGAAAUGAUGCUUUUCUCCAACGAAAAGAAAUCAAUAAUAUCUCAACAUUCUUCAAAAUUCUACUGCGUGAUCAAGGACAAAAGCUUGAGAGUGACACCUUUAGCACUAUAUAAUGCUGCUCUGUACCAUUAAUGACAGUCUUUGAAGAACAAUAUUUACAUAAUACCUAAUAUUUGUAAAGCGUUCAAAAAUGAAAUGUGUCACUUCAUUGAAAUGAGCAAACUUAUAUAAACUGGUGAGGUAUCAAGUGUACAAAGCUACUCAAUUUAAUCUGCUGUACCUUCUAAGAAAACAUCUUUAAGAUUUUCAAUGUAAUUAUAAGUUUGAGAAUAAGUGAAUUAAUUUUACAAUUAUCUGCAAUUCUAGUUUUUAUUCUUGUUCCCGAUGCUUUAUCUAUAAGUUUGCCUUAACAUGUAGUCAAAUAUCCUACUUUAUCAAAUAAAGGGGAUUUUU